rnacentral:rRNA from 1 species
GAUGAACGCUAGCGGCAGGCCUAAUACAUGCAAGUCGGACGGGAUCCAUUGAUAGCUUGCUAUCCAUGGUGAGAGUGGCGCACGGGUGCGUAACGCGUGAGCAACCUGCCUCCAUCAGGGGGAUAGCCUCUCGAAAGAGAGAUUAACACCGCAUAAUAUCAACAGUUCGCAUGUUCAGUUGAUUAAAUAUUUAUAGGAUGGAGAUGGGCUCGCGUGACAUUAGCUAGUUGGUAGGGUAACGGCUUACCAAGGCGACGAUGUCUAGGGGCUCUGAGAGGAGAAUCCCCCACACUGGUACUGAGACACGGACCAGACUCCUACGGGAGGCAGCAGUAAGGAAUAUUGGUCAAUGGGCGGAAGCCUGAACCAGCCAUGCCGCGUGCAGGAUGACUGCCCUAUGGGUUGUAAACUGCUUUUGUCCAGGAAUAAACCUAAAUACGAGUAUUUAGCUGAAUGUACUGGAAGAAUAAGGAUCGGCUAACUCCGUG